rnacentral:rRNA from 1 species
AACGAACGCUGGCGGCACGUUUUAAGCAUGCAAGUCGAAUGGCAGCAGGGGCAACUCUGUGAGAAUGGCGAACGGGUGAGUAACACGUAGGUGAUCUGCCUUGAGGAUGGGGAUAACCUGUGGAAACACAGGGUAAUACCGAAUAAGCUGACGGGACUUUGGUUUUGUUAGUAAAGGUGCUACGGCACCGCCUUGAGAGGAGGCUGCGGCUGAUUAGCUAGUUGGUGGGGUAAAGGCCUACCAAGGCGACGAUCAGUAGCCGGCCUGAGAGGGUGUACGGCCACACUGGGACUGAGACACGGCCCAGACUCCUACGGGAGGCAGCAGCUAAGAAUCUUCCGCAAUGGGCGGAAGCCUGACGGAGCGAUGCCGCGUGAUCGAUGAAGGUCGAGAGAUUGUAAAGAUCUUUUCUACAUGAGGAAUAAGUCUGGGAGGGAAUGCCUGGAUGAUGACGUUAGUGUAGGAAUAAGCCCCGGCUAAUUACGUGCCAGCCGCCGCCGUAA